AACUCUUGACAUCCAGAGAAGAGGCUAGAGAUAGCUUUGUGCCUUCGGGAGCUCUGAGACAGGUGCUGCAUGGCUGUCGUCAGCUCGUGUUGUGAAAUGUUGGGUUAAGUCCCGUAACGAGCGCAACCCUUGCCCUUAGUUGUCAGCGAGUUAAGUCGGAUACUUUAAGGAGACUGCCGGAGACGAGCCGGAAGAAGGUGGAGAUGACGUCAAGUCAGCAUGGCCUUUAUGUCCAGGGCUACACACGUGCUACAAUGGGUGGUACAGAGGGAAGCUAAGCCGAGAGGUGGAGCGUAUCCAAAAAGCCAUCCCCAGUUCGGAUUGGAGUCUGCAAUUCGACUCCAUGAAGUUGGAAUUGCUAGUAAUCGCAGAUCAACUACGCUGCGGUGAAUGCGUUCUCGGCUCU
rnacentral:rRNA from 1 species